rnacentral:rRNA from 1 species
CGUAAACAGAGGGAAGCGAAACCGCGAGGUAGAGCAAAUCCCCAAAAACGGUCUCAGUUCGGAUUGCAGGCUGCAACUCGCCUGUAUGAAGUCGGAAUUGCUAGUAAUCGCGGAUCAGCAUGCCGCGGUGAAUACGUUCCCGGGCCUUGUACACACCGCCCGUCACACCAUGGGAGCCGGGAACACCCGAAGUCCGUAGUCUAACCGCAAGGAGGACGCGGCCGAAGGUGGGUUUGGUAAUUGGGGUGAAGUCGUAACAAGGUACC